rnacentral:lncRNA from 1 species
AGGUUUCUGCAGGCAGAGGCAUGAUCUUGUGUUUCAUGCAGUUGGAGGAGUGUGAUCAGAUGCUGUGCAUGGCACACAAAUUGUCGUCACCCUCUGGUGAUGAAAGAAACCAUGAGGAAAUGACCACCGAUGUCGCAAGUGCAGGGAAGGGGAGAGAGUUGAGGACCCAUUUGUGUCUCUGAUCUCCAACUGAGGGGUACGUGUUCAGCAAGACUCUAAGCAAGCAUUUAAGUGCAUGUCUGACUUCUGUGAGGGUCCAGAGAGCUCGGAUGCAUUUAGAAAAUAAAGAAGAGGUGUUCAAACA